rnacentral:rRNA from 1 species
CAGUCGCCGCGGGAAUACGAAGGGUGCAAGCGUUACUCGGAAUUACUGGGCGUAAAGCGUGCGUAGGUGGUGGUUUAAGUCCGUUGUGAAAGCCCUGGGCUCAACCUGGGAAUUGCAGUGGAUACUGGGUCACUAGAGUGUGGUAGAGGAUAGUGGAAUCUCCGGUGUAGCAGUGAAAUGCGUAGAGAUCGGAAGGAACAUCUGUGGCGAAGGCGACUAUCUGGGCCAACACUGACACUGAGGCACGAAAGCGUGGGGAGCAAACAGGAUUAGAUACCCCCGUAGUCCCUGUCUCUUAUAC